GCCCUUAGAGUUUGAUCAUGGCUCAGAUUGAACGCUGGCGGCAUGCCUAACACAUGCAAGUCGAGCGGCAGCAGGUCCUUCGGGACGCUGGCGAGCGGCGGACGGGUGAGUAACACGUGGGAAUCUACCUUUCGGUGGGGGAUAGCCCGAGGAAACUCGGAUUAAUACCGCAUACGCCCUUCGGGGCAAAGCAGGCCUCUGAUUUAAGCUUGCGCCGAUAGAUGAGCCCGCGCCCGAUUAGCUAGUUGGUGGGGUAAAGGCCUACCAAGGCGACGAUCGGUAGCUGGUCUGAGAGGACGAUCAGCCACACCGGAACUGAGACACGGUCCGGACUCCUACGGGAGGCAGCAGUGGGGAAUAUUGGACAAUGGGCGAAAGCCUGAUCCAGCAAUGCCGCGUGGGUGAAGAAGGCUUGCGGGUUGUAAAGCCCUUUCAGCAGGGAGGAAAAGCGUACGGUUAAUACCUGUGCGUCUUGACGUUACCUGCAGAAGAAGCACCGGCUAACUCCGUGCCAGCAGCCGCGGUAAUACGGAGGGUGCAAGCGUUAAUCGGAAUUACUGGGCGUAAAGCGCGCGUAGGUGGUCGGAUAAGUCGGAUGUGAAAGCCCCGGGCUCAACCUGGGAAUUGCAUUCGAUACUGUCUGACUAGAGUCUGGUAGAGGGUGGCGGAAUUCCCGGUGUAGCGGUGAAAUGCGUA
rnacentral:rRNA from 1 species